AGUUAGAUAAACUGGUUGUUGAAACUCCCUGGGCCAUGGAGUUUUCUUAUUUUUCUUUUCUUUUUUUUUUUUUUAGUAGAGAGCUGACUUUAGAGGGAUCAGGAAUAGUUUGCUGGAUGGAAGGAGGUCAUCUUUAGGAGCUGGCAUGAAUUGCUGUGUUUCAAAACAGUCCAUGUAGAGAAAUGAGGAGAAGAGGAUUCAUCCAUUAGCUUCCAUCUCCCAUCGGUGAAAGCUUGCCCCGCAACUCCUCCACACUUCUGGGCUGUAUGAUCUGUCCUGCUACAGCCACUAUGGAAAUCCGAACCCAUGUUAGUAGCCACCUCCUCAGCAUGAGCUGCAGCUUAUGGGGCAUGCAGCAAGUAGGAGCAAGCCAAGGGCCCUGCGGGCUAGACCUCUGGCACACUGCAGAACCAGCAUGAACCAGGGCGGGUGGUGAACACCGAGAGGGUCCCAUGGUACUGCCCACCAUAGAGACUAAAACAGAGCCUUUGGCAAGAGGCAGGAGGCUCUAAGCAUGGGGUAUUUUCAGUCAUAGCCACACAUUACUUCAGAUUCCAG
rnacentral:lncRNA from 1 species